rnacentral:lncRNA from 1 species
UAACCGGAAGGAAACGCCCGACUUUUUGGAAGCUUCCACAGCUGGCAGCUGCCGGUGCUUCACCUAGCUCGCUGGAGUUAGGCUGCAAAGAAGGAAAGCAGAGCUGGAGACAGUGGGAGAACAAGGGAGGAGGAGGAGAAGAGAAGGGAUCGGGAGAGGGGAAUGAUGGAAGAGAUGGAAAGCUGCUGCCCUCCCAACAAUAAAUCUGUUCCGGCGCCAAUCGCUGGAGUGGUUUCCAUGCCGUGCGUUCUUCUACUGGUGACAGUGAAACCGACUCUAGCGGAGGAAUCGGGGCCGUCGGAUGGUCGUCAGAGGGUGGAUUAUGGAAGGAUUAGGAGUGGCCUAACUUACCAUUAAAGAAAGAUG